GACGAACGCUGGCGGCGUGCUUAACACAUGCAAGUCGAACGGAAAGGCCCUGCUUGCAGGGUACUCGAGUGGCGAACGGGUGAGUAACACGUGGGUGAUCUGCCCUGCACUUCGGGAUAAGCCUGGGAAACUGGGUCUAAUACCGGAUAGGAGCCAUUUUUAGUGUGAUGGUUGGAAAGUUUUUUCGGUGUAGGAUGAGCUCGCGGCCUAUCAGCUUGUUGGUGGGGUAAUGGCCUACCAAGGCGGCGACGGGUAGCCGGCCUGAGAGGGUGGACGGCCACAGUGGGACUGAGAUACGGCCCAGACUCCUACGGGAGGCAGCAGUGGGGAAUAUUGCACAAUGGGCGCAAGCCUGAUGCAGCGACGCCGCGUGGGGGAUGACGGCCUUCGGGUUGUAAACUCCGUUCGCUAGGGACGAAGCUUUUUGUGACGGUACCUAGAUAAGAAGCACCGGCUAACUACGUG
rnacentral:rRNA from 1 species